AUUGAACGCUGGCGGAAUGCUUUACACAUGCAAGUCGAACGGCAGCACGGGAGCUUGCUCCUGGUGGCGAGUGGCGAACGGGUGAGUAAUGCGUCGGAACGUACCGAGUAAUGGGGGAUAACGCAGCGAAAGUUGUGCUAAUACCGCAUACGCCCUGAGGGGGAAAGUGGGGGAUCGCAAGACCUCACGUUAUUCGAGCGGCCGACGUCUGAUUAGCUAGUUGGUGGGGUAAUGGCUCACCAAGGCGACGAUCAGUAGCGGGUCUGAGAGGAUGAUCCGCCACACUGGGACUGAGACACGGCCCAGACUCCUACGGGAGGCAGCAGUGGGGAAUUUUGGACAAUGGGGGCAACCCUGAUCCAGCCAUUCCGCGUGAGUGAAGAAGGCCUUCGGGUUGUAAAGCUCUUUCAGCUGGAACGAAACGGUGCGCUCUAACAUAGCGUGCUAAUGACGGUACCAGCAGAAGAAGCACCGGCUAACUACGUGCCAGCCGCCGCCGUAAAAC
rnacentral:rRNA from 1 species